GCCGCCUUAGCUCAGCGGUAGAGCACUUCCAUGGUAAGGAAGGGGUCCUGGGUUCGAUUCCCAGAGGUGGCU
rnacentral:tRNA from 2 species